UACGUAGGGUGCAAGCGUUGUCCGGAAUUAUUGGGCGUAAAGAGCUCGUAGGCGGCUUGUCGCGUCGACUGUGAAAACCCGAGGCUCAACUUCGGGCUUGCAGUCGAUACGGGCAGGCUAGAGUUCGGUAGGGGAGACUGGAAUUCCUGGUGUAGCGGUGAAAUGCGCAGAUAUCAGGAGGAACACCGAUGGCGAAGGCAGCACUCUGGGACGUGACUGACGCUGAGACGCGAAAGCGUGGGGAGCAAACAGG
rnacentral:rRNA from 1 species